rnacentral:rRNA from 1 species
UUCCGGUUGAUCCUGCCGGAGGUUACUGCUAUCGGAGUUCGAUUAAGCCAUGCGAGUCUAAAGGUUUCUUCGGAAACCUUGGCGGACUGCUCAGUAACACGUGGAUAACCUACCCUUGGGACUGGAAUAACCCCGGGAAACUGGGGAUAAUACCGGAUAGAUCAGGGAUGCUGGAAUGCACCUUGAUCCAAAGCUCCGGCGCCCAAGGAUGGGUCUGCGGCCUAUCAGGUUGUAGUGGGUGUAACGUACCUACUAGCCGACGACGGGUACGGGUUGUGAGAGCAAGAGCCCGGAGAUGGAUUCUGAGACACGAAUCCAGGCCCUACGGGGUGCAGCAGGCGCGAAACCUUUACAAUGUGCGAAAGCAUGAUAAGGGAACUCCGAGUGCCAGUAUCUAAUACUGGCUGUCCUUGUGCCUAAAACGCACAAGAUAGCAAGGGCCGGGUAAGACCGGUGCCAGCCGCCGCGGUAACACCGGCGGCCCGAGUGGUAGCCGCUAUUAUUGGGUCUAAAGGGUCCGUAGCCGGUUCGAUAAGUCCUCUGGGAAAUCUGGUUGCUUAACAAUCAGACUGCCAAGGGAUACUGUCGAACUUGAGACCGGGAGAGGUAAGAGGUACUUCAGGGGUAGGAGUGAAAUCUUGUAAUCCCUGGGGGACCAUCUGUGGCGAAGGCGUCUUACCAGAACGGGUCUGACGGUGAGGGACGAAAGCUGGGGGCGCAAACCGGAUUAGAUACCCGGGUAGUCCCAGCCGUAAACGAUGCUCGCUAUGUGUCAGGUACGGUGUGACCGUAUCUGGUGCCGUAGGGAAGCCGUGAAGCGAGCCACCUGGGGAGUACGGUCGCAAGACUGAAACUUAAAGGAAUUGGCGGGGGAGCACUACAACGGGUGGAGCCUGCGGUUUAAUUGGAAUCAACGCCGGUAAUC